rnacentral:lncRNA from 1 species
AUUUCUUGUUUCACUGGCAGCUGGACAAUACUAUAUAUAAGGGUUAGAAUUUUAAAGAAGCAUUUAGUGUGUAAAAACAGUUUAAUUUUCAAACAUAGUAAUACAUAUUUAAUUUAAUCUUUUACUGAUUUAGAAUUUUAGGUAAAAAAUAGAUAAAUUAUAUAUAUCAGGGAUUUAAAACAAUGAAAACCAAAACUAUUUUCUUCCCUAUCAAUUUUUUAAUAGAAUAAUCCUAGGUAAGAAAAAGUUCAGGAAAAAAGCAUGCUGAAACUUUGGGUUAGGUGAAUAAAAAUCUUUACAGGUAGCAUCAAGGUAGAUUUAAAUCUAACAGUACCAACUGGUCAAUUUAAAUGUCCCUAUUGUGUUGUCAAUUUUAAAAACAGGUUGAGCUAUAGGUAAAGUUUUACAGUAACACCUAUAAGCAACUCACUGUAACUAUAUUUAUACCUGAUAAUCUAUAAUUGUAUAUUAUUUAGAAUUUGUUAAUUAGAGCUUUUUAUUUGUUAAUGAGAGCUUUUUAUUUGGUAAUGAGAGCUUUUUAUUUUGUAAUGAGAGCUUUUCACAUGUCUACACAAAAUAAGUCUUUAGAUGUUCUGUAGUCAUCCUAUUAAGGCUUUUUUUUUUUUUUUUUUAAAGAUAGAUGUUUAAUUUGAGUAUAUUUCUUGUAUGACUUGGGUUUUACAAAUAUAGCCACAUAAAUAGGGAUAAAAGUUCCUCUGUAUUUUGUAUGACAGAAUUUGUAUGUUUGGAUGUUUUAAUUAAAAAAAAAACUUUCCCGUCUACAAAUUAUUUAGAAUUAUUUUGCAUUAUUCAUUCUGGCAAGAAUUGUUUAUGUUUCAAAAAGGUAAACCAAAAAACAAGAUAAAACUAGCAAGUGGUAUGAAAGGUUUUUGUUAAAAAUCUUGUUUGUGGGAAUAUUAAUGCAUUGAUGAAAAAAAUGAUUUUCAAUGAAGUUAAUUUGCGAAGUAGAAAUUAAAAUAAUAAAAAAAUCUUUAACUUAUGACUUUUUUUACUCCUUUUUCUCAGGAAUCAGUGAUUUGUUUUUCUUAUUCCACUGAAGUAUAUGUUUUGUAUGAAUGAUUUGAUUGUAUGUACUUUUUAUUGACAAUUUUUGUGUGUUUUUAUAGUUUGUUCGCUAAGUUUUCUUGUUUUGAUCACCUUGUCCUAAAGGUCUUUGUGUAAACUGUUGCUUUCACUCAAUGUCUGUGUAUCAUAGUAUGCCAGACUUUGAUAUUAAAUUCCCUCGCUUGAAGCUUGCUAUUAUACCAAAGAACCUGUUUGAAUCAGCCAAAAAAAUGACUAUACCAACCAACGAUCAUGGUGAAUGAAAUUAAAAUCUCCAAUGAUAACACAUUGUCAGUUGUGUCAAAUAAGAAUCUCAAAAUGAUCCUUUUGGUGUACCUAAAGUAAUAAUCUUGCCUUUUGUACAGCUUAGAUGUAAAACACCAGUUAUAAAAUUCCAAAAUAAUACAAAGAUCUGAUUAACAUAGGUCUGAUGUUUUGAACAUUUUUAAGGGAAUUUUUUCAUGAUGCAAAAAUAAGCCAGUGAAUAAUAUUAUUCCUUAUACUUAUCUUUUAAACUGUUGAAGAGAAGUUUAAUUGGUUGAUUGUUAUUGAUGAAUAAAAUUUUAAUCAGAUUAGGGAUGUUGAUUAUUGUGCAUUUUAUUUCAAAUGACACAUAAAGAUGUAGUCAUAAACUGUAUUAAUUUUGAAUAAAAAUAAAACUAUGACAAA